rnacentral:rRNA from 1 species
AUACGUAGGGUGCGAGCGUUAAUCGGAAUUACUGGGCGUAAAGCGUGCGCAGGCGGUUAUGUAAGACAGAUGUGAAAUCCCCGGGCUCAACCUGGGAACUGCAUUUGUGACUGCAUGGCUAGAGUACGGUAGAGGGGGAUGGAAUUCCGCGUGUAGCAGUGAAAUGCGUAGAUAUGCGGAGGAACACCGGUGGCGAAGGCAAUCCCCUGGACCUGUACUGACGCUCAUGCACGAAAGCGUGGGGAGCAAACAGGAUUAGAUACCCUGGUAGUCCACGCCCUAAACGAUGUCAACUGGUUGUUGGGAAUUAGUUUUCUCAGUAACGAAGCUAACGCGUGAAGUUGACCGCCUGGGGAGUACGGCCGCGAGGUUGAA